CACGUAGGGUGCGAGCGUUGUCCGGAAUUAUUGGGCGUAAAGAGCUUGUAGGCGGUUUGUCGCGUCUGCUGUGAAAAUCCGGGGCUCAACCCCGGACUUGCAGUGGGUACGGGCAGGCUAGAGUGUGGUAGGGGAGACUGGAAUUCCUGGUGUAGCGGUGAAAUGCGCAGAUAUCAGGAGGAACACCGAUGGCGAAGGCAGGUCUCUGGGCCACUACUGACGCUGAGAAGCGAAAGCAUGGGGAGCGAACAGG
rnacentral:rRNA from 1 species